UCAGGACGAACGCUGGCGGCGUGCUAACACAUGCAAGUCGAACGGAGAUACAUUGGAGGAGAGCUUCGGCAGGAAUCCGGCGUAUCUUAGUGGCGGACGGGUGAGUAACGCGUGAGCAACCUGUCCCAGACAGGGGGAUAACACUUGGAAACAGGUGCUAAUACCGCAUAAGACCACGGAGUCACAUGGCUCAGGGGUAAAAAGGAGGAAUCCGGUUUGGGGUGGGCUCGCGUCCGAUUAGAUAGUUGGUGAGGUAACGGCCCACCAAGUCGACGAUCGGUAGCCGACCUGAGAGGGUGAUCGGCCACAUUGGAACUGAGAGACGGUCCAAACUCCUACGGGAGGCAGCAGUGGGGAAUAUUGGGCAAUGGGCGAAAGCCUGACCCAGCAACGCCGCGUGAGUGAAGAGGGCUUUCGGGUUGUAAAGCUCUGUUAUAGGGGACGAAGGAAGUGACGGUACCCUAUAAGGAAGCCCCGGCUAACUACGUGCCAGCAGCUGC
rnacentral:rRNA from 1 species